rnacentral:rRNA from 1 species
AUUGAACGCUGGCGGCAUGCCUUACACAUGCAAGUCGAACGGCAGCACGGGUGCUUGCCCCUGGUGGCGAGUGGCGAACGGGUGAGUAAUACAUCGGAACAUGUCCUUUAGUGGGGGAUAGCCCGGCGAAAGCCGGAUUAAUACCGCAUACGAUCUACGGAUGAAAGCGGGGGACCUUCGGGCCUCGCGCUAUAGGGUUGGCCGAUGGCUAAUUAGCUAGUUGGUGGGGUAAAGGCCUACCAAGGCGACGAUCAGUAGCUGGUCUGAGAGGACGACCAGCCACACUGGGACUGAGACACGGCCCAGACUCCUACGGGAGGCAGCAGUGGGGAAUUUUGGACAAUGGGCGAAAGCCUGAUCCAGCAAUGCCGCGUGUGUGAAGAAGGCCUUCGGGUUGUAAAGCACUUUUGUCCGGAAAGAAAUCCUUGGCCCUAAUACGGUCGGGGGAUGACGGUACCGGAAGAAUAAGCACCGGCUAACUACGUG